ensembl:lncRNA
GAUUGAUGAAAAAUGUGUAUUUGAUCAAUUUUAGCAUAAGGAUGUAAUUUUAACAAAAUGUGGGAAAAGUCAAGAGCUCUGAAUACCUUUGAAUGCACUGUACAUAAUGUUUGUGUGUAACGUCCCUCCAACAAGAGAGGCCUUAGUCGUGUGCAUGGUAGCAUGGAUCUGUGCCUUUUGUUUUUUGUUUCUCAAAACAAAAUGGUGCUUCUUCCCUUUUCUCUGGCCAUUCACCUUAGUGACAGCAGCCCUUACAAAAAAAUAUUGUUUUGAAACUGCAGUAAAAGUGCAGUAACUGCAAUCGCCUGGUAUUUUUGACGGAGUAAUUGCUGAAUGCAGUUAUUCUGCACUCUAACUGCAGUUACACUGCAAAAUUACUGCAGUAAAAAAAAGUUGUAAUUUUGAAUGCAGUAUUUGCAGCAUACUGCAGUUAUACUGCAAAUGUUUUUCUUAAGGGAGGGUUUUUAAAAUGAACACUGCCUUUUUACUGAGACGCAUUGGAAUACUGUGCCAACAUACUUGCAAUCAAGACUCCAAUUCAAUCAAUGACAAAUCUGGACACCACAAUGUGGCUUCUCUCAGAAUGUUAACACUGUCACAGGUGUGGUUUGGCAUCAAUAUAGAACCAUGUCUGUGAAAACCGCUCAUUGGGGUGUUGAUUUAAACUUGAUUCACACUUGCGAUAUAGAAAAACAAUUCUGAAUUAAACCCCAAUGCAGUUUAACUUUAACUGCAACUGAUUUAAAAGGGGUCUUGUGUUAACCUUUGGGUAAACCAGCUUAAACUGUUUUGAAUAGCAUCCCACGGGGCCACACUGGUUGAAUCAACAUUGUUUCCACGUCAGUUCAAUGAAAUUACGUUGAACCAGAGUGGAAUAGACAUCGAAUUGAUGUCUGUGACCAGUGGGCUACUUUUACGAUGUCAAACAUAAAUCAGGGCUUUUGUAAUGCAUUUGUGUAAAAUAUGACAGGAUACUCCCUCCCACUUUACAAAGUAUGUGUUUCUGUGUGUAGAAGGAUUUGCUAUGAAUGAUUCUAGCUUUAUAGUAUCGUGUAAGAUAUGUUGCAACCAGUUGCUUGGUUAACUUUUUUUACAAUGCUUGUUCCGCUUGAUAGUUAGAGACAGCGCACCACUACAUUAUUUGUUGCUUGUUUACACAAAUAUUUCAUUGCUACAUUUGGACUUCAUGGUUUCAAGUGAAUCGCCUAUUCCCCUCAGACUCACCUCUGGACCUCGAAACCAGUUCCACUGCUUUUUUCAUUGUUCCCCUCUAAUCAGGGACUGAUUUUAGACCUGUGAAACCAGGUGUGUGCAAUUAAUUAUCAAGUAGAACAGAAAACCAGC